AAAAAAGCCAUAACGCAGAUGCUGCACACAUCCCACUGGCCAGAACCCAUUCACGUGUGAGAAUUAUUCGUGCAAACCCAAUGUAUCCAUCUCAAUCUUCUAGAAGCUGGCAGAAUUGAACUUCCUGGACACUCUGUGACUCACCAAGGUCACGUGACUAGUUGUUGCCAAUGAAUUUCACGAGGUUAUGUA